ACGCUCAACCGCUGAGCCGCCCAGGCAUCCCAUGGAGUUUGAGUUCUCUCCCGUGCCUCUGCCUUUCCAGAAAGCCACCUGCACCAUCAGCAAAGAGCCUCCAAACCGGCAUGAAGCAGAGAGGAGGCAGCAGGAGGCGGAGCUGAGUUGGCCUGAAAAUCGAGGUGGAGGAGAGAACCCUGGUGCCCUGAGUCCUGCUCUGACUCCAGCUGCAUGGCCCCCCCCGGAGGAGGAAUCCCUGAAGGAUCAAGGCAGGUGUAGAGACUCAGG